rnacentral:rRNA from 1 species
UACAGAGGGUGCGAGCGUUAAUCGGAAUUACUGGGCGUAAAGCGUGCGUAGACGGUAGCGUAAGUCAGAUGUGAAAGCCCCGGGCUCAACCUGGGAACUGCAUUUGAGACUGCUCUGCUCGGGUGCGGAAGAGGGAAGCGGAAUUUCCGGUGUAGCGGUGAAAUGCGUAGAUAUCGGAAGGAACACCAGUGGCGAAGGCAGGUCUCUGGGCCACUACUGACGCUGAGGAGCGAAAGCGUGGGGAGCGAACGAGGA